ACUCGGUGCUGUCCAGGUUCUUCGCACUGGGGUAGUGACUUGUCUCCCAGAUAAAGCAGGCCGAAGGCUGCUUCUCAUAGUAUCCUCAUCCGCAAUGACUUUGACCCUUCUUUUUGUGGCCGUGGCGUUCUAUAUAGAGUAGCAAAUAUGGGAAGGACAUGGAUAGAUAUGAAGAAUACAGUAAAGCAGUACCAGCAA